CGACUUGGUCUCACGAGCAAGCUUAAGCCGGUAGGCGAAGGCGCAGCGAAAGCGAGUCUGAACAGGGCGUUCAGUUCGUGGGAUCAGACCCGAAACCGAGUGAUCUAGCCAUGGCCAGGCUGAAGGCUGGGUAACACCAGCUGGAGGGCCGAACCCACACCUGUUGAAAAAGGUCGGGAUGAGCUGUGGCUAGGGGUGAAAGGCUAAUCAAACUCGGUGAUAGCUGGUUCUCCCCGAAAUGCAUUUA
rnacentral:rRNA from 1 species